rnacentral:tRNA from 1 species
GGGGAUGUAGCUCAGUUGGGAGAGCGAUACGUUCGCAACGUAUAGGUCAGGGGUUCAAGUCCCCUCAUCUCCA